rnacentral:rRNA from 1 species
GGACUACUCGGGUUUCUAAUCCGGAUCGCUCCCCACGCUUUCGCGCCUCAGCGUCAGCAAAGCCCCAGGCAACCGCCUUCGCCACUGGUGUUCCUCCCGAUAUCUACGCAUUCCACCACUACACCGGGAAUUCCAUUGCCCCCUAGCUUGCUCAAGCUCGAUCGUAUCCGCUGACCCCGCCCAGUUGAGCCGGGCGAUUUCACAACAGACGUUUCGAGCCGCCUACGCGCCCUUUACGCCCAAUAAAUCCGGGCAACGCUCGCACCCUACGUAUUACCGCGGCUGCUGGCAC